rnacentral:lncRNA from 1 species
CAAAGUUACUAUAACUUACCAUAGUUCCUUUUGGUUAAUGAAUAUCUAAGUGAAGCUCUUGGUACACUGUUGCCCCAACACCCACAAUAGAGCAGAAACCAACACAUGAAUCAUGUCAUUUUCUUCCUCCACCAUUUAGUGAGGUUACAUCCUUGUAAAUAUGAAAGUAACUCACCUGUGUCCACAUGGGUCAAAUAUGAAUUUCCCACCGGGUAGAUGCAGCCUUAGAUGUUACAAUUACACUACAAAAGCAGUGAAUUGAUCCCUCAAUUUAAGACAGUAAGCUAGUGCAGUUUUUUCCCCUUUUACUGGGAAAAGGGAUUAAUUUCAAAGAUUCGUAACCAUUUUUUCCAGGCUGUGGUCAUAAAUCAGACUGUGUGUAAAUUUACCAGUACAUAAGCCUCAAAUAAGUUUAGGCAAGUAUCUUUCAAGAGUAGCAAGGCUUGGAGAGCCGCAUCUGGAACAACAGAAAUGUAGAAAAGAACAGGUUAUAUUACCUUUGUUAUCCAGGACACAGACACCGCUGCUGCAAAUGUCAGGAGCACCCUGUAAUGAAGAUUGAAGUUCCUAUAUCAGGUCAUAGAGAGGACGAAGUAGCAACAUUUUCUCCCAUAAUGUGGUUUGCAGCACAUCUGUGCCAGCUUGCAAACUAUAUGAAGAGGAGCUGGCUAUGCAAUAUGAUAGGACCUUCAGGAAGGUCCUCAUGAUGCAUGCAAAACCCAUACUACCGUAAUUGCCAUCCUAUCCAUAAUUGCUAUCCUGUGUGUGUGUCCUUUCAAGUCAUCUGUUGAUUCUUCGUCGCCUAGAAAUUUUGUAAGCCGCCCCGAGUCCCUCCGGGGAGAUGGGGCGGGAUAUAAGAAUAAAAUUAUUAUUAUUAUUAUUAUUAUUAUUAUUAUUAUUAUUAUUAUUAUUAUUAAAGCGAUAAUGUGUGCUACUUGCACCAAAGGAACAAGUGAUGGCUUUGCAUUUGGUCUAACAAGAAUCAGUAUAGGGAUCAUUUGAAUACAAUUAUAUCUUGUGGUAGUCAACCUCACAUAAUCAGUCCAU